rnacentral:lncRNA from 1 species
GCUUCAGGGCAGUGGCAAGCAGCGUAAAUGGGUGCCUAGAGGUCUAGGUUUCGAGCUGCUGUACGCGCAAUGUGCUACCUUUCUACUGCACGCCUGGAGGGAGUAAUUCAAUUGGACUGAAACUCUUCGAAGCAGCAAAUUGAGUCGGCCAAGCGGUGGGAAAAUGGUGGCUGCUAAUCGGUAGGAAGGAUUUGGAUGGAAUUCAAAUUAGGUGGUGGCUAAAAGCAUGGAAUUUGAACUUGGGAAGGAUUUUAUGCCGAAAUAGGACUCAUGGUAGUACCAAUUCGGCUAUAGGCAAAUAAAUGCUGUAAAAGAUCUUAAAAUUUU